UUUUGCAGUGAGGAAACAGUUAUAAAAAGAGAGCAUUUUGUCAGUUCUUGUUUGGAUUUAUCCCUGAACAGGAAUCUUAAUUAAUCACAUGAAAUUAAACCCCAGAACAAGGGCCACAGCCUCAGUGUGGUGGUUGUGCCAUUCCUGUCCUUUUUUGCUUAAAUUCUGCGGCAGUUGGGCUUAUGUCGAGAAAAAAUUUAGGUCUUAAUUCUGAGUAGUUCUUCUCUGUAACGUCCAUUCCACGUAAAUUAUGUAACGUAUUAUUUACAACAAUUUUUUUCUUAUAGUUAUUUUUAUUUAAACUUACUUAAAAUAUUGUUCAUUUUAUCUGACCAAUCUUACAU
rnacentral:lncRNA from 1 species